AUACUUACCUGAAUGGGCUGUAUGGUUGAUCAUGAAAGCCCAUGGCCUAAGGUAGUGACUUUCAUUGCACUCUUGAGGUAUAUUGCCUUAAGGUCUACCAAAAUGGUAGAGCCUACAUCAUAGUUUGUGGUAGUGGAGUUUGCGUUUGCGCAACUCCUUC